rnacentral:rRNA from 1 species
GACGAACGCUGGCGGCGUGCUUAACACAUGCAAGUCGAACGGAAAGGCUCCAGCUUGCUGGAGUACUCGAGUGGCGAACGGGUGAGUAACACGUGGGUAAUCUGCCCUGCACUCUGGGAUAAGCCUGGGAAACUGGGUCUAAUACUGGAUAUGACCUUUCUCCUUAUGGGGUUUGGUGGAAAGUUUUUCGGUGUAGGAUGAGCCCGCGGCCUAUCAGCUUGUUGGUGGGGUGAUGGCCUACCAAGGCGACGACGGGUAGCCGGCCUGAGAGGGUGAUCGGCCACAUUGGGACUGGGAUACGGCCCAGACUCCUACGGGAGGCAGCAGUGGGGAAUAUUGCACAAUGGGCGGAAGCCUGAUGCAGCGACGCCGCGUGAGGGAUGACGGCCUUCGGGUUGUAAACCGCUUUCAGCAGGGACGAAGCGUAAGUGACGGUACCUGCAGAAGAAGCACCGGCUAACUACGUGCCAGCCGCCGCAGUAA